CUAGAAUUAUCAUUUAAUAACUGAAACUAUUAUUUCCUGUUUCUUUCAACACAAGACAAAACCAAAAAACUUGUUUACCAAGUUAAAGUACCACAAUGAAUAUACAGCUUGGUGGUGCUCUACAGUCACUUCCACGGAGUACCUAAAUAAGUGAUUGAUUACAAACUUUCAUGAGGAUAUAGUAAUAGGAUUUGGGAGUUGACUGUGGGACAUCUCUACAGAUGAGGUUCAGGAAAGUGCCGUGAAUGAAGCCCCCAUUAGCAUUUACUGCAGUGGUAUAAUUGCCUAUUUGCUGAUCUCUAUCAAGAGGACUGAAGCUGUGCUUUCAUCUCUGGAUUUGGACUUAGGAAUCACCAAUCAGUCUAUACCAUGAAGUAGAUGUUAAGUAAUUAUCUUCUUUGGAGGGAAGGAGGGUCCAAGAUAGGGUUUCUCUUGUGUAGCCCUGGCUGUCACAUAAUUAGCUCUGAAGACCAGGCAGGCCUCCAUCUCAGUGAUCCACUUGCCUGAAGUAAUUAAAUGUUGAGUGAAUUAUUCAGACCCCAAUUCCUAGCUCUAGCUUGAUGCCUGCUUGGUCUAUUUUUCAGAGGUGGUCACUGGGAUUAGGGUCCCAGGGCCUGAAAGCCCAACAAAAUGAAUGUGUUGACUGUCUAGCUUAGCUGUGAGAAGAGCUGAGUGCAUUUCUUUGACACAUUUGAGGUCCCGGAAAUGAUCCUUUGCACUUGAACUUUCUAGAAUCAGGGUCGACAUGAAUGAGGACAGGGCAAAGAUUGGGCAAACACUAACAAAAUCAUUUACCUAUGGGGAUUGGAGAGAUGGCUCAGUGGUUAAGAGCACUGGCUGCUCUUCUGAGAGAUCUUGAGUUCAAUUCCCAGCAACUAUAUGGUGGCUCACAACCAUCUGUAAUGGAAUCUGAUCUUCCCUUCUGAUGUGCAUGAAGACAGGGUGCUCAAAUACAUAAAAUAAAAUGUUAAAAACCAUUACAUAUAGCUCAGAUGUCCCCAGGAUCCAACAUCCUGUAGAGACAAACAAGGUCUUCCUUAGUACCAGAUAGAUUUCACAAACUCUUCAGCUCCCUUUUCCAUUUAGGUGGUCCUGGAAAAUGCUCCUAUGCCAGGCGAGUGUCCUACCACUCACCUACAUCCUAGCCCCAAAGACUCAAAAGCUGCCUUUGGUACCUAGUACCGAGAAUUUCCCUAGGCCCUUGGUGAUGGUCCAUCUCACCGCUCUACCUUAACUCUCUCUCUUACUCAGCCUCCCACAUUCUCGAAGCUACCAGACCUUACCUUCCUUUACCAGCAGAGAAACACUCCGCCUCUUCUGUUCUCUGAUUUUUGUUUUGUUUUGUUUUUUGUUUUUCGAGACAGGGUUUCUCUGUGUAGUCUUGGCUGUCCUGGAACUUACUCUGUAGACUAGGCUGGCCUUGAACUCAGAAAUCCACCUGACUCUGCCUCCCAAGUACUGGGAAUAAAGGCAUAUGCCACCACCGCCCAGCUCUGUUCUCUGAUCUUGAAGGGUCUCAAAGCAAUACUGUCAGUCAAAAUGUAGUCAAAAUACCCUCUAACAUACACAGCUCUCUCAUCCUCAGGACAUGGACUUGCUAACAGGAACCAUUAGUGAAGGGUUUCAAUCAUCUCUGUCUAGAACCAACGCUUAUCCCUCAGCCCAGCUGAGUUCUGCUCAUCAAACCCAACCACUUUUUCCACCCACAGUCACUUUUCUCUUGGGUCAAUGGGUUCUCUUUUCCAGGCUCACCAAGUACAACUCUUACAAAACAUAUUAUAUUCGGUUAUAUUGAAAACAAUAGUAGUCUUUUCUAUAGUAAGUAAAUGAGGAGCCAAUGGUUACGUUUAGGACCGAACCAGUAUUAAUGAUAACAGAAAUCUUCAGAAGUGUGACCAUACAAACCAUUUUCGAAAUCACACACUUGACAUACUGUUACCCACCAUUCGCAUACCAUCUACAGUGAGGUACACAGGCAAGAGUCAGAGCCGAGUAACUUUUGUUGUUUUUAAAAACAGAUACUCCUUACUACUCCAGGGCAAGUAAGGAUCUGAACUGACCCAUUUCUCACAGUGUAUCUCAUCCCCACUGGAGCAAGCAACCGAGCAGUUUAAAAAA